UACGUAGGGUGCAAGCGUUAAUCGGAAUUACUGGGCGUAAAGCGUGCGCAGGCGGUUUUGUAAGUCUGACGUGAAAUCCCCCGGGCUCAACCUGGGAAUUGCGUUGGAGACUGCAAGGCUAGAAUCUGGCAGAGGGGGGGUAGAAUUCCACGUGUAGCAGUGAAAUGUGUAGAGAUGUGGAGGAACACCGAUGGCGAAGGCAGCCCCCCUGGGUCAAGAUUGACGCUCAU
rnacentral:rRNA from 1 species